rnacentral:lncRNA from 10 species
CUCCAGAGAAGGGUACACAUAUGAGCUGUUAUUAACUGACACCCACAGCAGCUGCAAGAUGAGGACAUCAGCCCAGUAAAGGCAUCGGGGUCAAUCCUGUUGGUGUCCACAAUAGUUCUCUCUCUGGGGCAGUGGGCAUAGUGGUAACAGCAUGUGUUUAAGAGUCAGGGAGACCUUGAUUUGCAUCCCAAUAUGGCCUCCUCUAGCUCUAGGACCUGGGACAAGCUAAUCAAACUCAUCUGCAAAAUGUGAAUAAUGAUCGUCAUAGAGUGGGUUUGCAGAUUAAAUACUGUAUAAGCCUCACAAGUACCCCAGGAGGUGGUUACUCUGAAUACCUCUAUUUUACUAAUGAAAUUAGCAACUUGUCCAUGAACAUACGGCUAGCAAGUCUGACCUGGGAGCCUGCAUCUGGGAUUUUGGCCACUCCAUUCUGCUAAGCUGGUAUGAGUUGUAGAAGCGGUACAUUAUUGUAUAGGAGCUGUAAUCACUGAUCAGGAUAGGUGGAAAAUGCUUACACCCCAUCACAUCUUUCUCUGUGAGAGCUGAGGAUGUCUGUGGACCUCUAGAAGAACAGGUGGAACAGAAACCCAGGUGAGGCAGUGGGGCCCACCAAGAAGUUACAGGUAGAAGACGGCAGUGAAGUGAGCUGACCACCCCAGCAGCAUUGGUGUGCUCCAACAUAGAAGAUGACAGGAGUCACAGUGUGUGAUAUGCAUGCAUUCUUAUUGAGGAACAUUGAGGGACUUUGGCCUCUAGAAAAUUACCUAUGUUCCAAUAAAAC